UACGUAGGGUGCAAGCGUUGAUCGGAAUUACUGGGCGUAAAGCGUGCGCAGGCGGCUUUGCAAGACAGAUGUGAAAUCCCCGGGCUCAACCUGGGAACUGCAUUUGUGACUGCAUGGCUAGAGUGCGACAGAGGGGGAUGGAAUUCCGCGUGUAGCAGUGAAAUGCGUAGAUAUGCGGAGGAACACCGAUGGCGAAGGCAAUCACCUGGGACUGCACUGACGCUCAUGCACGAAAGCGUGGGGAGCAAACAGG
rnacentral:rRNA from 1 species